CCUUUAACUUGCGAAUGAAUUACUGUAUCGACUUGAAAUUUGCUAGGAAUACUUGUAGUAAGGAUAUACAAGAUAUAUAAAAUGGGCAACUAUACAUGUUAAACGCUUAAGCUUUUAGAAUUUUUAUGACGUCACUCACAUGCAAACACUCUUACAUGAAUACACGUCGAAUAAUAAGCUUCCGAAAAUUGUUAAAUUACUGAUUAAAAGAUUGUUUUUGGGACGCG